rnacentral:SRP_RNA from 1 species
CCGUGCUAGGCGGGGUGCUAGCGGUGCCCUGUCACCCGCAAUCCGCUCUAGCGGGGCCGAAACCCGUUCUGAGGGGCUGGCCUUCGGGGUCAGUACGCCGCAGGCGGCGCUGACGGCCAGGUCCUGCGCGAUGUGGGCCCGCGAACCAGGUCAGGUCCGGAAGGAAGCAGCCUUAAGCGGAAGCCGCAGGUGCCGCAGGCAAGCCUGGCCCGAGCCAGCCGGCGGCGGGCACGCCCGGAGACCGCGCUUCGAAGGCGGGGUGCACGG